ACUACAAGGCCAGGAUCGAAAAAGUGAGGAUCUACAAAGGACCUGCGAGAGACAUCAGACUUACCCGGGAACAAUACUUGCGGGUAAAGAUUCAAUCUUAAGGAGUUAUCAACUAUGCUCCAUUUGUUCUUCUUAAAUGUAUUAGAUAUUGAUGAUGUGCAGGUGCCUCCGUGGUGGAUUGCCAAUGAUUAUCCAUACUGGGAAAUGAUAGUGGACCGGUGGUGCUCGCAAGAGUGGGUGGAGAUGCACGAGGCUGCCCGGCAGUGGCGUUUGCUGAUGCCAGGUGCAUCGCACCAUCAGGGCAACCGUAACCUCAAGGCGUACGCGACUAGAUAUGUAUGUGAAUUAAUUUCUUUAUUCUAACGCUCAAUUCUGCAUAAUUUCUAAUCAUCUUCCUUUUUUCGCAGUCGUCGUCACAUGGUGGUGUGCCUUGCACCCAAGUCCAGGCAUACUGUUUGGCCCACAAAGGAAAGGCGAUGUCCGAUGUCACCUUCAACCCACAGGAUCCGCCCGAAGUGUACAGCAACGCAAGCGUCCACAACCGCCUCAGUGGGUACACCUCGAUGGCACAAGAAGUUCAUGGGCCGGAGUUUGAUGCGAUCAAUGAGCCCAUUGAUGGAGAAGUCGUCAUGAGGGCGGGAGGAGGCAAGAAGCAUGGACGGUACUAGUUUGGCGACAGCUUAGUCGACACGGCGACUACUCCCACUCUCUCGCAGAUUCGAGCCAGGAGUACCAGCUCAAGCCCUGCCAUACGCCCACGGCCAGACACUACACAGACUCAGAUUGAGGCUGUCAAUGCCCAGAUGGAAGCAGCCUUCCAAGCACGGCAGGAGGCGGCAGAGGAGAGGUGGAGGGCCGAGCGGGACGACAUGCAGCAAAAAUUGGAUCAAGCUCUAACAUUUAUGCAAAGCCUGGGCUCGGCGAUGGGUGUUUCGCCUCCACAAUUCCCUCCGGCCCCACUUGUUCGUCGUGCAGAAACUCCUCCUACCAAUCAGUCGGCGACAUCCAAUGAUGGGCCAGUAAAUCCUGACUUCUCGCCUCCGGUGCAGCAGACUCAGCAGCCUCAGCAGUUUGUGUGGCCACCGCCUCAAUGGGUGGCUUGGAUUCAGCAGCAGCAG